rnacentral:lncRNA from 1 species
GUGGGCAAAAUGAGCUACUAAAUGCUUCAUUAGUUUGGGUUGAAGAGACUGGCCACCUGCAAGGAUGUGAUCUGGCUUCUCACUCCUCUGGCUGCCCAUGAGUCCUGAGCCCAAACCAACAGGCCAUUGCUGGGACUAGGUGUGGGCAGACAGAAGAAGAGGAAGCUUCAUGGAAAAGAACCAUGGGACGAGUGAAGAGACAAAGAGGAGCAUUGAUUGGGCACAUGGAUAAUGGGCCUAAAUGGAGGGUGGAGGAUAUAUUUUGUCGUGGACAAGACUGUCUGGAGAAUACAGGCACGGAUCUCAGCUAUAUCAUGUUCCCAACCCUCUCUCUUUGGAAGCCCAAAGAAAGAAAUGUGCUUGCAGCAUGACAGACAGAAAAACUGGUUCAGGCAAGUCAAAAGUUGUGAAAGAAAUGGAAACAGAGAAGUGGAGCCAGAAAGUCUCAUAAAGGACUUUUUUUGCUGAUUUUUGGGGAUGACUGUAUCAGUUUUGAGCACCUCAGAAAAAGCAAUUUGUUUUUCACUCCCAGCAUAUCGUGUUUGUUCAAAUAGAGCCAUUAAGAGAGUGGGCAUAAUAGUUUGUGACCCAUACCACUUUCUCUUGCCUUCUUCACCCUAGUUAAACUUUAAAAGCUUCCCACAUUAUUCUCAAAUGCUUCUUGCAGGUAAGAUGAUAAAUGCAGCAAAUUGCUUCCUGUUAACAGGUGAAUUACAGGUUCAAGAACUAACAAACAUUUUCUGUACAGGGC